rnacentral:rRNA from 1 species
GUUUAAUUCCCGGCAGCGAGGCCGAUCCAUAUUUUUUACUUUCCAUCAAUUAUCUGGGCACUUUAGCCCGAAUGGCGGUGACAAACCGGAGGAAGGCGGGGAUGACGUCAAAUCAUCAUGCUCCGUAUGGCCUGGGGUCCACACGUGGUACAAUGGGAAGCACAAAGAUAAGGCAGCCCGGGAGGUCACGCAAAUCUCAUAAAGGUUGUCUCAGUUCUGAUUGCACAUGCGAACUAAACUGCAAGAAGGUGGAAUCGCCUGUAAUCAAGGGUCAUCCCCCUGCGAUGAAUAGGUUACCGGGCCUUACUCACCCUCCGUCACUCCUCGUGCAAUUGAGCGCAA